rnacentral:rRNA from 1 species
UACGGAGGGAGCUAGCGUUGUUCGGAAUUACUGGGCGUAAAGCGCACGUAGGCGGCUUUGUAAGUUAGAGGUGAAAGCCCGGGGCUCAACCCCGGAAUUGCCUUUAAGACUGCAUCGCUUGAAUCCGGGAGAGGUGAGUGGAAUUCCGAGUGUAGAGGUGAAAUUCGUAGAUAUUCGGAAGAACACCAGUGGCGAAGGCGGCUCACUGGACCGGUAUUGACGCUGAGGUGUGAAAGCGUGGGGAGCAAACAGG